rnacentral:lncRNA from 1 species
AUGGCAUCUACGUCCAUAGAAGUGUCUGCAAAGUGGAGAAUUAAUGUGGCUUGUCAGAACAUCUUGGGAUCAGAAGAUUAGAGUGAGAUCUUCCAAGAAUUAUUAGAAUUCCAUCUCUAAUACUGCCUGCUCUGGAGGGACCUGGGUGCCAUCUUUUGAAAUGCAAUCAUUAAGGAAGAUGCAACCCGAAUCUCCCAGUGUCUGUGGGAGGGCAGGAGCUUAACCAAGUCAAAAGAGCCCAUCAAUGCCAUCCCCUCAGAUCAGUCCUGAGGCAGAGUUGGGAAUGGAGAAGUGAAACUUCUUGGUUUCUGUUGGUCUGGAGGAGCAAAUGUAAGAUAUUUGGCACAGAUAAAAGUGGAAAAACAGGGACAAAAAGGAAGAUUAAGGACUUGAAAACCCAGAGAGGAUGUGGGACACUAAGGAGCUGAGAAAAAGAAGAUAAAGGACAGAAGGAAAGAAAUCUGAAGUAAGGAGCUAAGAGAAGCAGAAGGUCAGUGGUUUCUGAAUGUGGAGUUCUCACUGUGCAGUCCUCCUAGAAUCUGUCAAACCAUUAAAUAAAAAUUCCCAUAAACAUUAUAAAUAGAAGCAAUGAAGAAAUACGCCUUUAGGGAAACCAGGAUCUUUGGUGAAUUUGGCAAAUUGUCAUUGACAAUGAUCUUUUGGCAAAUGGAAUAGACUUUCAAUAAAUUGAUUUUACUGAAAUCAGACUGCUUCCCAGGAAAGUUGUUAAUUAGAGAAGCUUGCAGAACAUUAGUUUUGGUUUGGCAGAAUAUUUAGUAUCUGAUAGGGAAUAUUGGUGU